rnacentral:rRNA from 1 species
UACGUAGGGGGCAAGCGUUGUCCGGAUUUAUUGGGCGUAAAGAGCGUGUAGGCGGCCUGAUAGGUCGGUUGUGAAAACUGGAGGCUUAACCUUCAGACGUCGACCGAAACCAUCUGGCUAGAGUCCGGGAGAGGUGAGUGGAACUGCGAGUGUAGAGGUGAAAUUCGUAGAUAUUCGCAAGAACACCAGUGGCGAAGGCGGCUCACUGGCCCGGUACUGACGCUGAGGUGCGAAAGCGUGGGGAGCAAACAGG